AAGGAUUUAAGUUAAACAAACUAUCGGCCUUCAAAGCUGAAAACAGAAGCUAUUAACCUUG
rnacentral:tRNA from 1 species